rnacentral:rRNA from 1 species
ACGAACCUGCGAAGGCAAGCGGAUCUCUUAAAGCCGUUCUCAGUUCGGACUGUAGGCUGCAACUCGCCUACACGAAGCUGGAAUCGCUAGUAAUCGCGGAUCAGCACGCCGCGGUGAAUACGUUCCCGGGCCUUGUACACACCGCCCGUCACACCAUGGGAGUCUGUAACACCCAAAGCCGGUGGGAUAACCUUUAUAGGAGUCAGCCGUCUAAGGUAGGACAGAUGAUUAGGGUGAAGUCGUAACAAGGUAGC